rnacentral:lncRNA from 1 species
UGUGUUAUUGUUGCUACCAAUCACUGUGGCAGUGAUUGAGGAAAAGUGAGAGGGGCUCUCAUACUUAGGCUGUGGUUCUAAGUAGAAGACCACUGGGUAGAUUAGGUUAAGAACAAUGAACUUGAUGUGUUCAUGUGUGUCUGUAAUACCUAGAUCUUGAGAUAGUGGAAUUCCUUUUCAUUGGGCGAAAGCUAACCAGACGUAGGUGUAGU